UGAACGCUAGCGAUAGGCUUAACACAUGCAAGUCGAGGGGCAGCACGGUGUAGCAAUACACGUGGUGGCGACCGGCGUACGGGUGCGUAACACGUAUGCAACCUACCCGCUAUUGGGGGAUAACCCGGCGAAAGUCGGACUAAUAUCCCAUAUUAUUCUUACCGGGCAUCCGGUGAGUCUGAAAGAUUUAUCGAUUGCGGAUGGGCAUGCGGAUGAUUAGCUAGUAGGUGGGGUAACGGCUCACCUAGGCGACGAUCAUUAGGGGUUCUGAGAGGAAGGUCCCCCACACUGGAACUGAGACACGGUCCAGACUCCUACGGGAGGCAGCAGUGAGGAAUAUUGGUCAAUGGGCGCUAGCCUGAACCAGCCAAGUCGCGUGAAGGAUGACAGAAUCUAUGGUUUGUAAACUUCUUUUGCAGGGGAGUAAAGUGCGACACGUGUGUUGUAUUGCAAGUACCCUGCGAAUAAGCAUAGGCUAACUCCGUGCCAGCAGCUGC
rnacentral:rRNA from 1 species